GAUGAACGCUGGCGGCGUGCCUAAUACAUGCAAGUCGAGCGAACAGACGAGGAGGUUGCUCCUCUGUCGAUAGCGGCGGACGGGUGAGUAACACGUGGAUAAUCUACUUAUAAGUCUGGGAUAACUUCGGGAAACCGGAGCUAACACUGGAUAAUCUAUUGAAGCGCAUGGUUCAAUAGUGAAAGACGGUUUUUCUGUAACUUAUAGAUGGAUCCGCGCCGUUUUAGCUAGUUGGUAAGGUCACGGCUUAUCAAGGGAACGAUGCGUAGCAGACCUGAGAGUGGGGUCGGCCACACUGGAGCGUGGACACGGUCCAUACUCCUGCGGUAGGCAGCAGUAGCGAAUGGUCCGCAGUGGGGGCGAGCCUUACGCAGCGACGCCACGUGAGUGGUAAAAGUGAUCGGAUCGUGAAGCUGGGUUAUUAGGUGUGAACCGAUGUGGAAGUAACUGAACACGUCUUGACGGUACCGAGUCAAAAAGCCACGGCUAACUACGUG
rnacentral:rRNA from 1 species